rnacentral:rRNA from 1 species
CGUUCCCAUACCGAACACGGAAGUUAAGCUCUUCAGCGCCGAUGGUAGUCGGGGGUUUCCCCCUGUGAGAGUAGGACGCCGCCAAGC